rnacentral:rRNA from 1 species
UACAGAGGUCUCAAGCGUUGUUCGGAUUCAUUGGGCGUAAAGGGUGCGUAGGUGGCGCGCUAAGUCAGGUGUGAAAUUUCGGAGCUUAACUCCGAAACUGCAUUUGAUACUGGUGUGCUUGAGGACUGGAGAGGAGACUGGAAUUUACGGUGUAGCAGUGAAAUGCGUAGAGAUCGUAAGGAAGACCCGUGGCGAAGGCGGGUCUCUGGACAGUUCCUGACACUGAGGCACGAAGGCCAGGGGAGCAAACGGG